CCUGGACCCGAGAGCGAUCUUGGGUGGCUCUUCCGGCCGCUGAUCCGCCGGACAACC
rnacentral:ncRNA from 1 species